rnacentral:misc_RNA from 1 species
GAUGAAGAACGUAGCGAAAUGCGAUAAGUAAUGUGAAUUGCAGAAUUCAGUGAAUCAUCGAAUCUUUGAACGCACAUUGCGCCCGCCAGUAUUCUGGCGGGCAUGCCUGUCCGAGCGUCAUUUCAACCAUCAAGCCCCGGGCUUGUGUUGGGGACCUGCGUCCGACGCAGGCCCCGAAAACCAGUGGCGGGCUCGCUGUCCACACCGAGCGUAGUAGCUAACCUCGCUCCGGAGUGGCGCGGGCGCCUGCCGUAAAACCCCCCCAAUUUUACAAGGUUGACCUCGGAUCAGGUAGGAAUACCCGCUGAACUUAAGCAUAUCAAUAAGCGGAGGA